GAUGAACGCUAGCGGCAGGCUUAACACAUGCAAGUCGAGGGGCAGCAUAAUGAAGUAGCAAUACGGAAUUGAUGGCGACCGGCGCACGGGUGCGUAACGCGUAUGCAAUCUGUCCUAUACCAGAGCAUAGCCCAGCGAAAGUUGGAUUAAUUCUCUAUGUGAGCCGAGAGGGCAUCCUUUUGGUUUGAAACGCGAGGGUAUAGGGUGAGCACGCUUCUGAUUAGCUAGUUGGUGAGGUAACGGCUCACCAAGGCGACGAUCAGUAGGGGUUCUGAGAGGAAGGUCCCCCACAUUGGAACUGAGACACGGUCCAGACUCCUACGGGAGGCAGCAGUGAGGAAUAUUGGUCAAUGGUCGGAAGACUGAACCAGCCAAGUAGCGUGAAGGAUGAAGGUUCUAUGGAUUGUAAACUUUU
rnacentral:rRNA from 1 species